rnacentral:siRNA from 1 species
CAGAGCUGGACAGGGUGGUCGUGC